UAACGUAGACGAAAGUUACGCUAAUACCGCAUAAGCCCUGAGGGGAAAGUGGGGGACCGCAAGGCCUCACGCGAAUGGAGCGGCCGAUGUCAGAUUAGCUAGUUGGUGAGGUAAAGGCUCACCAAGGCGACGAUCUGUAGCGGGUCUGAGAGGAUGAUCCGCCACACUGGAACUGAGACACGGUCCAGACUCCUACGGGAGGCAGCAGUGGGGAAUUUUGGACAAUGGGCGCAAGCCUGAUCCAGCCAUGCCGCGUGAGUGAAGAAGGCCUUCGGGUUGUAAAGCUCUUUCGGCCGGGAAGAAAUCGCACAGGUUAAUACCCUGUGUGGAUGACGGUACCGGAAUAAGAAGCACCGGCUAACUACGUG
rnacentral:rRNA from 1 species